rfam:Felis catus isolate Cinnamon breed Abyssinian chromosome B2, whole genome shotgun sequence.
GCCUGGGUGGCUCAGUCGGUUAAGCGUCUGACUUCGGCUCAGGUCAUGAUCUCGCGGUUUGUGAGUUCAAGCCCCGCGUCGGGCU